GAAGCAUGGUUCAGCCCUGGACGAAGCCAUCGUCCAGCUACUGGAUUUCUGGAGGAACGCUUGCGAAAUGUCAGGAAGAGAACCCGUCGUGAAAACUGCACAAGUCGUGAGAAAGAGGAUUCUCAAGCCAUAAGCAGCACCUUGGUUAUACCAGAGCCAAGUAUUUCACCUGACAGAGCAGUACAACUUGCAGAAUGGCUUAAAAAUAAUAUGUGGCCAGCUAACCAAGUUGCAGAUUACAUGAAAGAAACAGCCAUCCACAGGGCUCAGUGGAUAAGAGCUAACGGGACAAAAUCUAUCGAGGAAAUAACUUGUGAAUUCCCUCGACUCCUUGAUACGCCAGGCAUGAUUUCACAAGACUUCUCUGUAUUAUUCCCCGACCACGCAGAGAGACUUUUCCAAACUUGGAAAAUGAGUUUCAAAGACAAAAUCCUUUGCUUUGCCAGCCAGGAGAAAAAGCGCAGGAGCUUCUCCAGAAUUUAGACAGUUUGUCUCCAGGUACAGUUGUGAAUGCAAGAACUAAUAGUUAUUCAUUAGAAUAAUGAUGACAAAAUAAUUAAUACAAAAUAUUAAUCUGCACAGAAGUCCAAAGUGACGUUGCACUCAGGCUGCUUCCUGUAAUACUGCCCACCCCUGUCUACAAAAAAGGGAUGAAAAUGUUCAAACCAAGCUUGGAAGAAAAUAUCAAGUCUUUCAUUGAAUUCAAGCAUGUUGGGACCAACAUGGUUGAAUAUUUGAAGGAGGCAGAGCUCACUAAACCCUUCCCCUUUGUCCUUGGUCUUGGGGAUGACAGUCAAUGCCAUCAAGCCUUUGUAGUUGUUGGCAAACAGGCACUGCAUCAAAACACACUCCUUGGUGCUGUGGACACGUGUUUUAAACUUUUUUAUGUUUUAGACAUCCAUUUCCCGAAGCAGUGUGCACCAGUGUGGGAGUUUUUGCAGACUGUUGUCUACAAACUCCCAGGAACUGAAUCUCCUUCUGUAAGACUGCUCCGUGGAUAUUUGUCAUGUUGA
rnacentral:lncRNA from 1 species